UGUCUCCUCUAUUCUCCUCCAAGGAAAUAGACUUCAGCCCGCCAGCUUGGCGGGCUUUUUUUU
rnacentral:ncRNA from 1 species